rnacentral:sRNA from 1 species
UUUCAGCGCUGAGGACUGGCGCUGAGGAGGCGGCGGUGGCUCCCGGGGCGUUUGAGCGGGCUCACCCGAGCCCGCGGGCCAACGCGGAUCCAGGCCCGACUGGCGGGACCGCCCCGGACUCCCCGCGGGCCUUCCUAGCCGCCAUGGAGGACGGCGUCUAUGAACCCCCAGACCUGACUCCGGAGGAGCGGAUGGAGCUGGAGAACAUCCGGCGGCGGAAGCAGGAGCUGCUGGUGGAGAUUCAGCGCCUGCGGGAGGAGCUCAGUGAAGCCAUGAGCGAGGUGGAGGGGCUGGAGGCCAAUGAGGGCAGUAAGACCUUGCAACGGAACCGGAAGAUGGCAAUGGGCAGGAAGAAGUUCAACAUGGACCCCAAGAAGGGGAUCCAGUUCUUGGUGGAGAAUGAACUGCUGCAGAACACACCCGAGGAGAUCGCCCGCUUCCUGUACAAGGGCGAGGGGCUGAACAAGACAGCCAUCGGGGACUACCUGGGGGAGAGGUACGGUCACCACUCAGCUCCUGUGGGGCCCCUCCCUCCCACCCCCCAGGCCCAGCUCCUGCCCUCACACUGGCAGCUCA